rnacentral:lncRNA from 1 species
CUUUGACAUGUGGUCCCUGGGCCUCAGGGCCUCAUGGCAGCUUUGCUUGGGCCCUGUUCCUCUGUGGAUGUUCUUCAGUGUCUUGCACACCAGUGGAGUGAGACUUGGAAAGCAGCAGGCUCAAAUCUUGGGAACUCACUUUGGAAAAGCAAGUCCAGCCUGCAUGAGCGGAAGCAGACAGAAGAUGGCCAAUCCAGAUGCAGGGUUCAGGAAGGGGUCCCCCUCCUCCAUCACAUUGGGGCUCCCAAGGACUGCAUGCAAUGAGGAAGUCAUGCUUCCCAAAGGAAAGAGGGAGCCAGAGCCAGAGCCUACACCCAUUCCUGGGGCAGAGGUGGAUCCUGAUUUGGAAGAGAAAGAAGUUCAUCUCACCCGCCAGAAGCAGUCUCACUGUGGGAGGUGAUAACUACAGUCUCUCCUGGGCAUCCCAUCAGGGCCUCCCUGAGACCCUUGGCCCCUGAAUUAAUUUGCAUUUUCUUGAUUUUUAAUGAAGUUGAAAAUCGUUUCACUUGUGUCUUGGCCGUUUGUAUUUUACCUGUGAAUUGCUUGUGUCCUUUGCCCAUUUUUCUGUGAAAUCAUCUUUUUAUUUAUUUAGAGGAGCUCCUUAUAUAUUGUGGCUAUUAACUCUCUAUCUGUUACAUAUGUUUCAACACUUUCUUCCAGGCUAUGUUAUGUCUUUUAACUUUGUUCAUGUUACAUUUUGCUCUAAAGAAAUUUACAGUUUUUAUUUAGUCAAAUCUGUCAAUGUAUUCCUUUAUGGCUUCUGCAUUUGAUGUCAUGUUUAAAAAUGCCUUUCUCCACUCCAUAAUCAUAAAAAUAUUUCCUAUAUUUUUUCUAUUUGUUUGUAUGAUUUUCAUUUUUACAUUAGAUUGUUAAUCCAUCUAGAUUUUUUAAUGUACAGUGUGAAGUAGGAUUUAACUUUAUUUCUUUCCAAUGGAAAGUUCAUUGCCCCAACUCCAUU